UACGGAGGGGGCAAGCGUUGUUCGGAAUUACUGGGCGUAAAGCGCGCGUAGGCGGUUGGCAUAGUCAGGCGUGAAAUCCCGGGGCUCAACCCCGGAACUGCGCUUGAUACUGGCUAACUAGAGGUCGGGAGAGGGUAGUGGAAUUCCCAGUGUAGAGGUGAAAUUCGUAGAUAUUGGGAAGAACACCAGCGGCGAAGGCGGCUACCUGGACCGAAUCUGACGCUGAGGUGCGAAAGCGUGGGGAGCAAAC
rnacentral:rRNA from 1 species